rnacentral:rRNA from 1 species
AGAGUUUGAUCCUGGCUCAGAACGAACGCUGGCGGCAUGCCUAACACAUGCAAGUCGAACGAGAUCUUCGGGUCUAGUGGCGCACGGGUGCGUAACGCGUGGGAAUCUGCCCUUGGGUUCGGAAUAACUUCGGGAAACUGAAGCUAAUACCGGAUGAUGACGUAAGUCCAAAGAUUUAUCGCCCAAGGAUGAGCCCGCGUAGGAUUAGCUAGUUGGUGAGGUAAAGGCUCACCAAGGCGACGAUCCUUAGCUGGUCUGAGAGGAUGAUCAGCCACACUGGGACUGAGACACGGCCCAGACUCCUACGGGAGGCAGCAGUGGGGAAUAUUGGACAAUGGGCGAAAGCCUGAUCCAGCAAUGCCGCGUGAGUGAUGAAGGCCUUAGGGUUGUAAAGCUCUUUUGCCCGGGAUGAUAAUGACAGUACCGGGAGAAUAAGCUCCGGCUAACUCCGUGCCAGCAGCCGCGGUAAUACGGAGGGAGCUAGCGUUGUUCGGAAUUACUGGGCGUAAAGCGCACGUAGGCGGCUUUGUAAGUUAGAGGUGAAAGCCUGGAGCUCAACUCCAGAAUUGCCUUUAAGACUGCAUCGCUUGAAUCCAGGAGAGGUGAGUGGAAUUCCGAGUGUAGCGGUGAAAUGCGUAGA